GAUGAACGCUGGCGGCGUGCCUAAUACAUGCAAGUCGAGCGAACGGACGAGAAGCUUGCUUCUCUGAUGUUAGCGGCGGACGGGUGAGUAACACGUGGAUAACCUACCUAUAAGACUGGGAUAACUUCGGGAAACCGUAGCUAAUACCGGAUAAUAUUUUGAACCGCAUGGUUCAAAAGUGAAAGACGGUCUUGCUGUCACUUAUAGAUGGAUCCGCGCUGCAUUAGCUAGUUGGUAAGGUAACGGCUUACCAAGGCAACGAUGCAUAGCCGACCUGAGAGGGUGAGCGGCCACACUGAAACUGAGACACGGUCCAGACUCCUACGGGAGGCAGCAGUAGGGAAUCUUCCGCAAUGGGCGAAAGCCUGACGGAGCAACGCCGCGUGAGUGAUGAAGGUCUUCGGAUCGUAAAACUCUGUUAUUAGGGAAGAACAUAUGUGUAAGUAACUGUGCACAUCUUGACGGUACCUAAUCAGAAGGCCACGGCUAACUACGUG
rnacentral:rRNA from 1 species